rnacentral:lncRNA from 1 species
AAUAUUACAAUAAUUAUCUGAUUAUAUAAAAGGACUUUCCAAAACCCACUUACUUGGGGGGUUUUCUUCCACUUAGGAGAAUUCUCUCCCACCAAAGGUUGUUUUCCCAUUCGAGGGAUUUUUUUCUCACUUUGGGGAAUCUUCCUAUUUUAAAACUCAUUUCCCGACUUCAGGGAAAUUUGUAGUCUUCCCCAAAAAUUUAUCUACUUGCUCCUACUAGGUAAUCUCCUUUGGUAGUACUUAAGCUUUCUAUAGUUUUAUGUAAUAUGAUAGAUUAUGGUUAUUGCUUAUUCACCAUCUUCAGUUAGCUUUGGAGUGAAGCCCUACUUCUUGGAUCUCUAGAUUCAUCAUAUUCUAACUCUUG